GAUGAACGCUGGCGGCGUGCCUAAUACAUGCAAGUCGAGCGAACAGACGAGGAGCUUGCUCCUCUGACGUUAGCGGCGGACGGGUGAGUAACACGUGGAUAACCUACCUAUAAGACUGGGAUAACUUCGGGAAACCGGAGCUAAUACCGGAUAAUAUAUUGAACCGCAUGGUUCAAUAGUGAAAGACGGUUUUGCUGUCACUUAUAGAUGGAUCCGCGCCGCAUUAGCUAGUUGGUAAGGUAACGGCUUACCAAGGCAACGAUGCGUAGCCGACCUGAGAGGGUGAUCGGCCACACUGGAACUGAGACACGGUCCAGACUCCUACGGGAGGCAGCAGUAGGGAAUCUUCCGCAAUGGGCGAAAGCCUGACGGAGCAACGCCGCGUGAGUGAUGAAGGUCUUCGGAUCGUAAAACUCUGUUAUUAGUGAAGAACAAAUGUGUAAGUAACUAUGCACGUCUUGACGGUACCUAAUCAGAAAGCCCCGGCUAACUACGUG
rnacentral:rRNA from 1 species